UACGUAGGUGGCAAGCGUUGUCCGGAUUUAUUGGGUUUAAAGGGUGCGUAGGCGGCCCUGUAAGUCAGUGCUGAAAUCUCCCGGCUUAACCGGGAGGGUGGCAUUGAUACUGCGGGGCUAGAGUACAGAUGAGGUAGGCGGAAUUGACGGUGUAGCGGUGAAAUGCUUAGAUAUCGUCAAGAACACCUAUAGCGAAGGCAGCUUACUAGGCUGUAACUGACGCUGAGGCACGAAAGUGUGGGGAGCAAACAGG
rnacentral:rRNA from 1 species